rnacentral:rRNA from 1 species
CAGCCGCCGCGGUAAUACGUAGGGUGCAAGCGUUAAUCGGAAUUACUGGGCGUAAAGCGUGCGCAGGCGGUUUGUUAAGACAGACGUGAAAUCCCCGGGCUCAACCUGGGAACUGCAUUUGUGACUGGCAGGCUAGAGUAUGGCAGAGGGGGGUGGAAUUCCGCGUGUAGCAGUGAAAUGCGUAGAUAUGCGGAGGAACACCGAUGGCGAAGGCAGCCCCCUGGGCCAAUAUUGACGCUCAUGCACGAAAGCGUGGGGAGCAAACAGGAUUAGAUACCCCCGUAGUCCCUGUCUCUUAUAC